CCUACGGGAGGCAGCAGUGAGGAAUAUUGGUCAAUGGGCGAAAGCCUGAACCAGCCAAGUCGCGUGCGGGAUUACUGCCCUAUGGGUUGUAAACCUCUUUUGUCGGGGAGCAACAUCCGGACGUGUCCGGCUGUGAGAGUACCCGAAGAAAAAGCAUCGGCUAACUCCUUUCCAGCAGCCGCGGUAAUACGGAGGAUUCGCGCGUUAUCCGGAUUUAUUGGGUUUAAAGGGGGCGCAGGCGGGUUUUUAAGUCAGCGGUCAAAUCGUGGGGCUCAACCCCAUCCAGCCGUGGACACUGGGGAUCUAGAGUGCGCGAGAGGUAGGCGGAAUGCGUGGUGUAGCGGUGAAAUGCAUAGAUAUGACGCAGAACCCCGAUUGCGAAGGCAGCAUACCGGUGCACAACUGACGCUCAGGCACGAAAGCGUGGGUAUCGAACAGGAUUAGAUACCCCUGUAGUC
rnacentral:rRNA from 1 species